rnacentral:lncRNA from 1 species
UUUGGUUUUAUUCUCUUUUUUUUCCCCCUUUACUGUCACUUUAGUUAGAUCUGGAGACAAAAUGUUGUAAAUACAUAUAUUUGAUUUGUCACAUUAAAGUUGAAAUGUACAUAAACAUCAGUUUUAGUGGUUCCAUCAUGUUUAUUAGUGGAUGCAUUAAUGUUCACAUAACCAUCAUUCAGUUGUUGGGUAGUCAAAUUAUUGCCUAUUUUUUUUUUUACCACUGUUAGAAACAACACACUAAUGAAUCGUUUUAUGCAUGACGUUCUUUUUAUCUUUGAGAUUACUGUUUUUAAGAUAUAUUUCUGGAAAUAUAAUUAGUAACUAAGUUCAGAGGUUUUCACAAUUCCUUUGCAAAAUAGUUUUAUUGGUUAACAGACCUACCAACAGAGCAUGGGAGUGUACAGACUCUCCAAGCUCAGGAGCAUGUGCCCUGCAAAUUGCUCUUCAUAUCUUAAAUCAAGGCCAUGUUGGAAUAGAGAGAGGAUUUUGUUUGUUUGUUUGUUUUUGUAUCUUUAGAUGCAAGACUUCUCUCCGUGGAUAGAAUCAAAAUGGAAUCCUGAAGAGGAACAGCAGGAAGAACUCCAUGAGCAGCAAGGAUGCCUUUAAGGGAGUGCUAUGAAAUCAACACUGUACAGAAAACAAAUGCUGUUCUGUAAGGAAGACUGCGCAAAAACUUUUUGCACAGUUAAUUGUGCUGGUUGUACCUGAUUUCUUCAUUUCCCAGUCAAGCUGAGAUGCUGGUUAGGAAUAUAAAUGCACUACUUGGAAAUCUAUUACUGAAUGUUGAAGGAUUGUCCAGAGGGGCCAAAAAGAAGACUGCACCACAAGUACCGGAAAGGCAAGGGAGGAGCUGGGCAGAGCAGCAUGAUGAUGUGUCUGAAAGCCAAAGAGAUUUACAUAUGUGGCAAUAUAUUCCACCUCUGCUUCCUGGGCCUACCAAGGGCUCUCUAACAACCUUUCACCCUGUGGCUGUUCUGUACUUUAUUAAAGGAAACAUACCCAUCAUUCCACUUCCCCUGGAUGUAUGCAGCUGUGUAACCGAUUCUUCAGCCUUCUUCCGUGGAGAUCCUUCAUAAGGCAACACCAGAGGUGAUGCACAGAAAUCACUGUGAUUUGUGUUUUAUUUGGCUGUUUGCACCCUGCCUUGUUCCACAAGGGAUUUGAAGCAACUUUCAAUAAAAAUCAUUAAGAUAAAUGAGCA